rnacentral:rRNA from 1 species
GACGAACGCUGGCGGCGUGCGUAACACAUGCAAGUCGAGCGGGUAAGGCCCUUUCGGGGGUACACGAGCGGCGAACGGGUGAGUAACACGUGGGUGACCUGCCCUUAGCGUCUGGGAUAAGCCCUGGGAAGCUGGGUCUAAUACCGGAUAUGACUCCAUGACGCAUGUUGUGGGGUGAAAGCCUUGUGCGGCUAGGGAUGGGCCUGCGGGCCUAUCAGCUUGUUGGUGGGGUGAGUGGCCUACCAAGGCGACGACGGGUAGCCGGCCUGAGAGGGCGACCGGCCA